UAAGAGGGGGAUAACGGUCCGGAAACGGGUGCUAAUACCGCAUAGUUUUCUUGAUUGCAUGAUUGAGAAAGGAAAGACGGCCUUUGUGCUGUCGCUUAUGGAUGGACCCGCGGCGUAUUAGUUAGUUGGUGAGGUAACGGCUCACCAAGACGAUGAUACGUAGCCGACCUGAGAGGGUGAUCGGCCACAUUGGGACUGAGACACGGCCCAAACUCCUACGGGAGGCAGCAGUAGGGAAUCUUCCGCAAUGGACGAAAGUCUGACGGAGCAACGCCGCGUGAGUGAAGUAAAGGGUUUUCGGAUCGUAAAACUCUGUUGUCAGAGAAGAACAAGUUGGAGAGUAACUGCUCCAGCCUUGACGGUAUCUGACCAGAAAGCCACGGCUAACUACGUGCCAGCCGCUGC
rnacentral:rRNA from 1 species